rnacentral:tRNA from 1 species
UCCGACAUGGUGUAGCGGUUAGCAUACUCCGCUUUCAUAAGAAAGGCCCGGAGAGAUCCGAGUUCGAUUCUCGGUGUCGGAA